CCUAGGACAGAUGGAGAGACCGGGGCACCUCUUGGCCAGAGUCCCACAAGACCAAGAAGGUGGUGGAUGGGGUCUUCAAACCUGUUAUCCUGCUCCAGAGUCUGCAUGUUUCACCACCAACUAGGCGGCCCAACACCAGACAAGCACCUGUGCAGUGACUGUCGCUGUAGUGUGGUCUCCCGGUGACGCUCCUGCACCCUUGACCCAAUCCUGUGAAGAUGUGGCCUGGGGCCAGCCUGGUGAGACACUCCAGGGAUGCCGAGGACACUUCUCCAUUUGAUCUGCGUUGUCCUUUGUGGUGCUCAUCGUAAUCUCAAUUAAUCUGCACUGUCCUCCAUUGAAAUGUCUGCCUCCACCACCGGACAAAUGAGUCGUUGGGUCGGCAGUAUCUUGGUCACUGCUGAGCCCCUGGCCCUGUGCCUACUCCACAGUAAGUGCUCAGUAAACACCUAGUGAAUGAACGAACCAAAGAUUUUCGUCUCUUGCGGGUUCAAGAGGCAAUGACCGGAAUGUGGUUUGAAGACCCAAAAGGUGGAAGUGAGGAAGCAACAGUAGAGGGACCCUGCUUGAAAUCAGGUCCCCCGUGAAGUGUCUGGAACGUGUGGUCUCUGUUUGGUUGGACAUGCUCUAUCCUGAAGGGAUUUUGGCUCUACACUGUGAAUUUCACUGCUCUCUGAGGCAAGGCCUAGGGGCUCUAUGCUUGUGUGACCCUCCAGCUCCUACAUGUGGUGGUAAAAGGCUUUUGAUUAAGAACCAGGGUACACAACCUGACCUUGGGGACCUCUUCUGUCACCAACAAUCUGCACCAAACUUCCAUUGUAAAGCAGUCCCCCCACCCCCUACGGUCUUCACUGCUCCCACUGACCCUGUCGGGAAGCCAGACCCUCUACCCUUUGGAAUUGCCCUUCCUUCCUGAUCUUGAAAGUUCAGCUCUAAGCUCACCUCUUCCAGGGGGUGUUCAAGAGUGAACUCUAGACCUGCUUGCCUCCGUACCCCACUGUAUACCCUUCCUACCCCCAUGACCCUGGCUUCCCCGCACCGCACACACCCAGGCUUUGUGAUGACCACAGUGUCUUUGGGUAUACUCCUGGGAGCCAGUGGAGAGGUCGACAAGGACCAGGAGGCAGACCAAGGGUUUGAAUCCUGGGUCAACACUUACAGGCUGUUUGACCUUGAGUGGGUGAAUGCAUGUCUCUGAGCUUCCUCAUCGGUAAGAUUGGAGAGCAACGCCCACUUAGCCAGGACACGCAGGAGGAUUUGAUGAGACUCUGGUUUCCUGUUUGCUCCCUCUCAUCCUUCAGGACUGCUCACAUGUCCCCUCCUCUGAGUGUCCUCCUUGACCCCAUUGCAAGCCAUGCCCCACCUGCUUUCUCGGCCUCAUUUUCCUUGAAGACCUUCUAUAGCUCUCAAUUCACUCGCUUAUUAUCCGCCUGCCUCCGCUGGAACAUCAGGGUUAGGGAAUAGGGGUUUUGAUGAUUUUGCCCAUUGCUGAAUCCCAAGGUCCUAGAAUAGUGCCCUGCAUACAGUCGCUGGCUGAAUGGCGGGUACGUAGUGGGGGUUUUCAGCAGAAGCUGCUAUUACGACUGUGCAACUCUGUCUUCUUUGUUUGCAACUGACAGGUUGGCCGAACUUACCUUCGGGCCUGGGGCAGUCCCAGCUCGACGAUCUGCCAAACUGGGGUAAUGGGGUCACCGUCCUGCCUGGGUCCCUGUGUGCCCUGCUUUGGGCAGAGGAGGCUGUGUGCCCUGGAGGCCAUCUCGACAACCUGCCCUUCCAGGGCAGAGGCCACUGGGCCCGCCUGCUCCACCCCUUCUGUGUAAACAUCCAACACUAGGACACAUGAAUCAUCUCCAGGAAACCCACAACCCUUGUCAGGGUCAAAGAAAGCCAGAUAAGACGAGUAGGACUACCUGCCAUGACAGAAGUUUGGGCUCUGGUUCCAGUUCUGCUUCUUUGGCCACCGACGUGAUGUCGCCGAACAUGGAGUCGAGAAGAGGUGCUCGACGUCAGCUGUCGAGAGCCACAACCAGCGGGCCCC